GUAAGGAAUAUUGGUCAAUGGGCGCAAGCCUGAACCAGCCAUCCCGCGUGCAGGAAGACGGCCCUAUGGGUUGUAAACUGCUUUUGUCAGGGAAUAAACCCCCGCUCGUGAGCGGGGCUGAAGGUACCUGAAGAAUAAGCAUCGGCUAACUCCGUGCCAGCAGCCGCGGUAAUACGGAGGAUGCAAGCGUUAUCCGGAUUCAUUGGGGUUAAAGGGUGCGCAGGCGGAUUGGUAAGUCAGGGGUGAAAUCCCACAGCUCAACUUUGGAACUGCCUUUGAUACUGUCAGUCUAGAGUAUAGUUGAAGUUGGCGGAAUGUGUCAUGUAGCGGUGAAAUGCUUAGAUAUGACACAGAACACCGAUCGCGAAGGCAGCUAGCUAAGCUAUAACUGACGCUCAUGCACGAAAGCGUGGGGAUCAAACAGGAUUAGAAACCCGUGUAGUCC
rnacentral:rRNA from 1 species